AACCUGAGGACCGUAUGCUGUGUU
rnacentral:miRNA from 1 species